CCUACGGGGGGCAGCAGUGAGGAAUAUUGGUCAAUGGACGAGAGUCUGAACCAGCCAAGUAGCGUGAAGGAUGACUGCCCUAUGGGUUGUAAACUUCUUUUAUAUGGGAAUAAAAUGUUCCACGUGUGGGAUUUUGUAUGUACCAUAUGAAUAAGGAUCGGCUAACUCCGUGCCAGCAGCCGCGGUAAUACGGAGGAUCCGAGCGUUAUCCGGAUUUAUUGGGUUUAAAGGGAGCGUAGGUGGAUUGUUAAAUCAGUUGUGAAAGUUUGCGGCUCAACCGUAAAAUUGCAGUUGAAACUGGCAGUCUUGAGUACAGUAGAGGUGGGCGGAAUUCGUGGUGUAGCGGUGAAAUGCUUAGAUAUCACGAAGAACUCCGAUUGCGAAGGCAGUUCACUGGACUGCAACUGACACUGAGGCUCGAAAGUGUGGGUAUCAAACAGGAUUAGAUACCCGAGUAGUC
rnacentral:rRNA from 1 species